rnacentral:rRNA from 1 species
UACGAAGGGUGCAAGCGUUGCUCGGAAUCAUUGGGCGUAAAGCGCACGUAGGCGGCCUCACAAGUCGGAUGUGAAAUCCCGUGGCUCAACCAUGGACGUGCAUUCGAAACUGCGAGGCUUGAGUAUGGAAGAGGGUCGCGGAAUUCCCGGUGUAGAGGUGAAAUUCGUAGAUAUCGGGAGGAACACCAGUUGCGAAGGCGGCGACCUGGGCCAAUACUGACGCUGAGGUGCGAAAGCGUGGGGAGCGAACCGG